rnacentral:lncRNA from 1 species
UUGUUGAGACAUUAACAUUGAACUUGUAGCCAAAAGCAAUGUAACUUGUGCAUGAAUGAUGCUUCUGGGAAAAUACGUGUGUUAACACGUAUUCUCUCUAAGGCACAUCACAACCUUCUUGUGCUUGGGAGCCUUACUUUAUCUUUAAAUGAUGUGAAAAAUAUUUCACCACACUAUUGGCUUAAUUUAUAUUGUUUAAUACCUGUAAGUUAGGUUUUAUUAUCACUUUGGAAAGACUAAUAUGAUAAAGCAACAACUGAUUUGUCUGUUUGUUUGUUCAGUCUGUUAGCAUUUAUUGACUGUGUUAUCUCUUCUACUCCUUGUCCUCUAUUGGUAAUAUUGCCAGUCUCCCAAGCUUAAUGGGGCUCAGGUAGCUGCUUGUUUGAGCAUUUGAAGCAUUUGACUAUGAGCUCCUUAAGGUCUAAACCCUUUGGAUUCUGAAUUGCAUUUUUCCUCCCAAAUCUUUAUUUGAUUUAAUUUUCAAGGUUAAUCUGGCUUAUAUCCUAGGCCUGAGAGCAGCAGGG